UAUGUGAUCGUCUCUCGCAUAUCAAUAAGCGGAGGAAAAGAAACUAACAAGGAUUCCCUUAGUAACGGCGAGUGAAGCGGGAAGAGCUCAAAUUUGAAAUCUUCAAGGUUUUACCUUGACUGAAUUGUAGUUUAAAGAAGUGUUUUCUGCUGAAGUUUUGGUAAAAGUUCUUUGGAAUAGGACAUCAUAGAGGGUGAGAAUCCCGUAUUUGACCAUUAUUUUCAGCUUUGUGAUACACUUUCAAAGAGUCGGAUUGUUUGGGAAUGCAGUCCAAAAUGGGUGGUAAAUUUCAUCUAAAGCUAAAUAUUGGCGAGAGACCGAUAGCGAACAAGUACCGUGAGGGAAAGAUGAAAAGAACUUUGAAAAGAGAGUUAAACAGUACGUGAAAUUGUCAAAAGGGAAGCGUUUGACACCAGUGUUGUUUUCUCGAAAAUCAAUUAAAAAUGGCUCGAUUUUGUAUUGCUGAGACCUUAAAAGCUCACUGUACAUUUUUCGUGUCUUUUUUAAUGCACUUUUCGUUUAACAAGUCAACAUCAGUUUCUUUUGUUGUAAAAGGGUCAUUGGAAGGUGGCUUUCUUUUCGGAGAAAGUGUUUAUAGCCUUUGGCCUCUGCAAUCGGAGAGACUGAGGUCUGCAGCGUAGACUCUUCGGGGUUAGAUACAUUUGUGCUAAGUUAUAGCUUUUUAUAGACAACUUGUUGACUAUAAUUAGUCUUGUAGCUUACUCGCUUAUGCUAUUUUACCUACGCUUAGGAUGUUGACGAUCAGCUGAGCGCG
rnacentral:rRNA from 1 species